UACGUAGGGUGCAAGCGUUAAUCGGAAUUACUGGGCGUAAAGCGUGCGCAGGCGGUUAUGUAAGACAGGUGUGAAAUCCCCGGGCUUAACCUGGGAACUGCAUUUGUGACUGCAUAGCUAGAGUACGGUAGAGGGGGAUGGAAUUCCGCGUGUAGCAGUGAAAUGCGUAGAUAUGCGGAGGAACACCGAUGGCGAAGGCAGCCCCCCUGGGCUAACACUGACGCUCAGGCACGAAAGCGUGGGGAGCAAACAGG
rnacentral:rRNA from 1 species